AACCUUACCUACUCUUGACAUCCAGUGAACUUUUGAGAGAUCAAUUGGUGCCUUCGGGAACACUGAGACAGGUGCUGCAUGGCUGUCGUCAGCUCGUGUUGUGAAAUGUUGGGUUAAGUCCCGUAACGAGCGCAACCCUUGUCCUUAGUUACCAUCAUUAAGUUGGGGACUCUAAGGAGACUGCCGGUGACAAACCGGAGGAAGGCGGGGACGACGUCAAGUCAUCAUGGCCCUUACGAGUAGGGCUACACACGUGCUACAAUGGCAUGUACAAGGGUUGCCAAGCCGCGAGGUGGAGCUAAUCCCAUAAAGCAUGUCGUAGUCCGGAUUGGAGUCUGCAACUCGACUCCAUGAAGUCGGAAUCGCUAGUAAUCUUUAAUCAGAAUGUCACGGAUAAUACGUUCCCGGGCCUUGUACACACCGCCCNUCAC
rnacentral:rRNA from 1 species